AAGCACUAGUUUCCUAUCAGUACGAUUUCCAAAGUUAAGCAGCAUCAAGCCUGGUCAGUACUUUGAUGGGUAACCACUUGGGAAUACCAGGUUCUGUAAG